CAAUAGCGUAUAUUUAAGUUGCUGCAGUUAAAAAGCUCGUAGUUGGAUUUCGGGUGGGAAUGGCCGGUCCGCCGUUUCGGUGUGCACUUGCUACGCCCACCUUGCUGCCGGGGACGUGCUCUUGAGUUCACGCUCGGGACACGGAGUCGGCGAGGUUACUUUGAGUAAAUUAGAGUGUUCAAAGCAGGCCUACGCUCUGAAUACAUUAGCAUGGAAUAACACGAUAGGACUCUGGCCUAUCUUGUUGGUCUGUAGGACCGGAGUAAUGAUUAAGAGGGACAGUCGGGGGCAUUCGUAUUUCAUUGUCAGAGGUGAUAUUCUUGGAUUUAUGAAAGACGAACUACUGCGAAAGCAUUUGCCAAGGAUGUUUUCAUUAA
rnacentral:rRNA from 1 species